GUGGGGAAUCUUGCGCAAUGGGCGAAAGCCUGACGCAGCCAUGCCGCGUGAAUGAUGAUGGUCUUAGGAUUGUAAAAUUCUUUCACCGGGGACGAUAAUGACGGUACCCGGAGAAGAAGCUCCGGCUAACUUCGUGCCAGCAGCCGCGGUAAUACGAAGGGGGCUAGCGUUGCUCGGAAUUACUGGGCGUAAAGGGCGCGUAGGCGGACAGCUUAGUCAGAGGUGAAAGCCCAGGGCUCAACCUUGGAAUUGCCUUUGAUACUGGCUGUCUUGAGUUUGGGAGAGGUGAGUGGAACUCCGAGUGUAGAGGUGAAAUUCGUAGAUAUUCGGAAGAACACCAGUGGCGAAGGCGACUCACUGGCCCAAUACUGACGCUGAGGCGCGAAAGCGUGGGGAGCAAACAGGAUUAGAUACCCGUGUAGUCC
rnacentral:rRNA from 1 species